rnacentral:rRNA from 1 species
AUGAACGCUGGCGGCGUGCCUAAUACAUGCCAGUCGAGCGAACGGACGAGAAGCUUGCUUCUCUGAUGUUAGCGGCGGACGGGUGAGUAACACGUGGAUAACCUACCUAUAAGACUGGGAUAACUUCGGGAAACCGGAGCUAAUACCGGAUAAUAUUUUGAACCGCAUGGUUCAAAAGUGAAAGACGGUCUUGCUGUCACUUAUAGAUGGAUCCGCGCUGCAUUAGCUAGUUGGUAAGGUAACGGCUUACCAAGGCAACGAUGCAUAGCCGACCUGAGAGGGUGAUCGGCCACACUGGAACUGAGACACGGUCCAGACUCCUACGGGAGGCAGCAGUAGGGAAUCUUCCGCAAUGGGCGAAAGCCUGACGGAGCAACGCCGCGUGAGUGAUGAAGGUCUUCGGAUCGUAAAACUCUGUUAUUAGGGAAGAACAUAUGUGUAAGUAACUGUGCACAUCUUGUCGGUACCUAAUCAGAAAGCCACGGCUAACUACGUG